GUGUUACAAUGGAAAUGCUCUGGGCUUUGAAAUCAGUCAGACCUCAAUUUCGAUUCUAAUUCCUAAAUUUACUGUCUGUUUUGCUUUAAAAUGUUACUAAAACUCUGAGUGUUUCCUCAUCUAUGAAUGGCCACGUGGAUUCUCCCAGCCAGGAAAGGAGGAUGAAGACGUUGCCAGAUGGGAAAAUAACCCAAGUAAAGACCUGGAAGAACAAAGCUGUUUGGACAGCUAGGGAACCCCAAUUUACAGCAAGAUGUCCCUCAUGCCAGCAUCUUUUCCUUUACUCUGUCAUCAUCAUCAUGGUAAAAUGUAAAGAAAAGAAACAAUAUAUUCUGAGCACCGUGGGUGAGAAGAUAUUUAAAGUCUAUUCUUGUUCUGUUGCAAGCAGAAUUGAAUAUUUUGGAAGGAUAUUAUUGAUUGCUCCCAGAAUCUCCAGGGAAGGUUGAUGAAAGAUUGAGAGAGAAUGUUCAAAAUCAAUCUGCACAACAGAUCUGUCUGUGGAAGACACCACUGUGCCCCCAAUGUGCCCAGCACUGGUGUUGGACCUUGACCCAGGACCACUGCUAGUCCCAGCAAUACUAGCUUCCUGAAGUUCCUACUGCCUCAGAGUGAAUUCUUAACAAAGUCAGUGACCGGGGAUAUUCCACAUCAGUGGCAAAAGAGGCUGGGAAAACAAGUGUCUAGUAUUUUCAACUACUAUUGUUGACACAACAUGCGGCCCAAGAUUUCCAGAUCUCCUUUGCUCUGAAAACCCAGGGAUGAGAAUACUUCCUCACAAGACCCCACCUCCGGCUGCAGGCAAGACCAGCCACCCCAUGACCUUCAAUCACUGUGUCCUGUGACUUCAGAAACAAAUUCCGUCAUGUCUCCAACACCAGCUCUCCUGUAUCACCAUGAGGUGUCCAAGUUUCCCACAUCACCCAGUUUCACGCAGCUGGUGGUUCAGGACUGGCUGGUGAAGGAAGAGAAGAGUCCUUGCCUGGAGGCAGGUCAGGGUGAGGCUGGGACUUUGCCUGAAGACACACACUGGGUUUUUGUUUGUUUUUGCCCUGUUUCCUCCACUUCCUCACCUUCCUCCCUGAGAGCACUGCAUCAAUAAAUCCCUUGUCCAGACAUUCUUGUCUAAAGAGAGUGAAAUUUAAGACACAAAAAUCAAGAUAAUGAGCGUUAUUAAGGUGGCCUGGGAAAGGCGUGUAAAUAAGAAAAAGAGCAGCCCAAGAUGGAAUCCCUAGAGCCCACUGUUUACCAUAAAGAUGGAGAAAAAGAGCCCAGAGAUGAGCCUGAACAAAAGAUGUUGUGAGGGUGGGUGAGGUGCUGUGAAUGGAG
ensembl:lncRNA